rnacentral:rRNA from 1 species
AAUCUGGCUUAUGGAGGGGGAUAACUACUGGAAACGGUAGCUAAUACCGCGUAAGGUCUAAGGACAAAAGGGGGCGUAAGCUCCUGCCAUAAGAUGAGCCCAAGUGGGAUUAGGUAGUUGGUGAGGUAAUGGCUCACCAAGCCUGCGAUCUCUAGCUGGUCUGAGAGGAUGACCAGCCACACCGGGACUGAGACACGGCCCGGACUCCUACGGGAGGCAGCAGUGGGGAAUAUUGCGCAAUGGGGGGAACCCUGACGCAGCCAUGCCGCGUGAAUGAAGAAGGCCUUCGGGUUGUAAAGUUCUUUCGGUGAUGAGGAAGGUGAUAAGGUUAAUACCCUUAUUAAUUGACGUUAGUCACAGAAAAAGCACCGGCUAACUCCGUGCCAGCAGCCGCGGUAAUACGGAGGGUGCGAGCGUUAAUCGGAAUANCUGGGCGUAAAGGGCACGCAGGCGGAUUUUUAAGUGAGGUGUGAAAGCCCCGG